rnacentral:rRNA from 1 species
GAUGAACGCUGGCGGCGUGCCUAAUACAUGCGAGUCGAGCGAACAGAUGAGGAGCUUGCUCCUCUGACGUUAGCGGCGGACGGGUGAGUAACACGUGGAUAACCUACCUAUAAGACUGGGAUAACUUCGGGAAACCGGAGCUAAUACCGGAUAAUAUAUUGAACCGCAUGGUUCAAUAGUGAAAGACGGUUUUGCUGUCACUUAUAGAUGGAUCCGCGCCGCAUUAGCUAGUUGGUAAGGUAACGGCUUACCAAGGCAACGAUGCGUAGCCGACCUGAGAGGGUGGUCGGCCACACUGGAACUGAGACACGGUCCAGACUCCUACGGGAGGCAGCAGCAGGGAAUCUUCCGCAAUGGGCGAAAGCCUGACGGAGCAACGCCGCGUGAGUGAUGAAGGUCUUCGGAUCGUAAAACUCUGUUAUUAGGGAAGAACAAAUGUGUAAGUAACUAUGCACGUCUUGACGGUACCUAAUCAGAAAGCCACGGCUAACUACGUG